rnacentral:rRNA from 1 species
GACGAACGCUGGCGGCGUGCUUAACACAUGCAAUUCGAACGGAAAGGCCCUGCUUUUGUGGGGUGCUCGAGUGGCGAACGGGUGAGUAACACGUGAGUAACCUGCCCUUGACUUUGGGAUAACUUCAGGAAACUGGGGCUAAUACCGGAUAGGAGCUCCUGCUGCAUGGUGGGGGUUGGAAAGUUUCGGCGGUUGGGGAUGGACUCGCGGCUUAUCAGCUUGUUGGUGGGGUAGUGGCUUACCAAGGCUUUGACGGGUAGCCGGCCUGAGAGGGUGACCGGCCACAUUGGGACUGAGAUACGGCCCAGACUCCUACGGGAGGCAGCAGUGGGGAAUAUUGCACAAUGGGCGGAAGCCUGAUGCAGCAACGCCGCGUGCGGGAUGACGGCCUUCGGGUUGUAAACCGCUUUCGCCUGUGACGAAGCGUGAGUGACGGUAAUGGGUAAAGAAGCACCGGCUAACUACGUGCCAGCAGCCGCGGUGAUACGUAGGGUGCGAGCGUUGUCCGGAUUUAUUGGGCGUAAAGGGCUCGUAGGUGGUUGAUCGCGUCGGAAGUGUAAUCUUGGGGCUUAACCCUGAGCGCGCUUUCGAUACGGGUUGACUUGAGGAAGGUAGGGGAGAAUGGAAUUCCUGGUGGAGCGGUGGAAUGCGCAGAUAUCAGGAGGAACACCAGUGGCGAAGGCGGUUCUCUGGGCCUUUCCUGACGCUGAGGAGCGAAAGCGUGGGGAGCGAACAGGCUUAGAUACCCUGGUAGUCCACGCUGUAAACGGUGGGUACUAGGUGUGGGGUCCAUUCCACGGGUUCCGUGCCGUAGCUAACGCUUUAAGUACCCCGCCUGGGGAGUACGGCCGCAAGGCUAAAACUCAAAGGAAAUGACGGGGCCCCGCACAAGCGGCGGAGCAUGCGGAUUAAUUCGAUGCAACGCGUAGAACCUUACCUGGGUUUGACAUGGAUCGGGAGUGCUCAGAGAUGGGUGUGCCUCUUUUGGGGUCGGUUCACAGGUGGUGCAUGCCUGUCGUCAGCUCGUGUCGUGAGAUGUUGGGUUAAGUCCCGCAACGAGCGCAACCCUUGUUCACUGUUGCCAGCACGUUAUGGUGGGGACUCAGUGGAGACCGCCGGGGUCAACUCGGAGGAAGGUGGGGAUGACGUCAAGUCCUCAUGCCCCUUAUGUCCAGGGCUUCACGCAUGCUACAAUGGCUGGUACAGAGAGUGGCGAGCCUGUGAGGGUGAGCGAAUCUCGGAAAGCCGGUCUCAGUUCGGAUUGGGGUCUGCAACUCGACCUCAUGAAGUCGGAGUCGCUAGUAAUCGCAGAUCAGCAACGCUGCGGUGAAUACGUUCCCGGGGCU